ACGGGAGGCAGCAGUGGGGAAUAUUGGGCAAUGGGCGAAAGCCUGACCCAGCAACGCCGCGUGAAGGAAGAAGGCCUUCGGGUUGUAAACUUCUUUUACCAGGGACGAAGGAUGUGACGGUACCUGGAGAAAAAGCAACGGCUAACUACGUGCCAGCAGCCGCGGUAAUACGUAGGUUGCAAGCGUUGUCCGGAUUUACUGGGUGUAAAGGGCGUGUAGGCGGAGAGGCAAGUCAGAUGUGAAAUCCUGGGGCUCAACCCCGGAACUGCAUUUGAAACUGUAGCCCUUGAGUAUCGGAGAGGCAAGCGGAAUUCCUAGUGUAGCGGUGAAAUGCGUAGAUAUUAGGAGGAACACCAGUGGCGAAGGCGGCUUACUGGACGAUAACUGACGUUGAGGCUCGAAAGCGUGGGGAGCAAACAGGAUUAGAUACCCUGGUA
rnacentral:rRNA from 1 species